rnacentral:lncRNA from 1 species
UGUGAGUAUUUGUAUAAGCGAGUUUUUGAUUUUGGGAAAUUAUUUGUUAGAGUUGUUUUUGGUGACAAUUUAUUAUGAUCUUAGAAUUGAGGAUUUGAUUUUGAUGAUGAUUUUCUUUAUGUUAAGCUUGUGGAUAAUUUGAGGUAUGUGUAUUGAUGGAUUACUAUGAUAAAGUGAAAAUUAUUCAGUAUAGACGAUUUCUUGUAAUUUGAG